AUUCACCGAAGCUGAGUGUCUCAAGAUUGAUGUAAAAGAGAAGAAAGUCUAUUGCCAAUCUAAUUUAGAGAAUGGGGAAAAAGAAAUUUUAGUGGACUACGACUACCUUGUAAUAUUUGUGGGAGCAAAUGUUAAUACAUUCAAUACUCCUGGUGUGAUGGAGAACUGCCAUUUCUUGAAGGAAGUAGAAGAUGCCCAGAAGAUACGAAGAACUGUUAUUGAAUGCUUUGAAAAGGCUAGCCUGCCAACUAUAAAUGAUGAGGAGAAGGAGAAAAUUCUUCAUUUUGCCGUUGUUUGAGGUGGCCCAACUGAGGUUUAAAGUAGAACAGCAGCUACAGUGUCAAAGCUACAGAGUUUAAACUCAAGAGUCAUUACUGGAUACUUACUAGCAGGAUCUGCCAUUGGACCCAGUCACCCAGAGGCUUGAAUUUUGUCAGUGAAAUAGUCCAAGAGGCUUGUCUUUAUUCCUAUUUUGCUUGAUUGAUUCUUUCUUUGCGCUUCCCCUAUUGACUGUAUUAUGUUUUCAGUUGUUCCAUUUGCAGAUUCAAAACCAUGAAUACUCAUGU